ensembl:snRNA Gm23504 predicted gene, 23504
GAGCUUACUUUGGUAGCACAUAUACUAAAAAAACUGGAAUAGCAUGGUCCCUAUGCAAGGAUGACACCCAAAUCUGUGAAGCAUUUUAUAUAUUA